rnacentral:rRNA from 1 species
UGGGGAAUAUUGGACAAUGGGCGCAAGCCUGAUCCAGCCAUGCCGCGUGAGUGAUGAAGGCCUUAGGGUUGUAAAGCUCUUUCGCCGACGAAGAUAAUGACGGUAGUCGGAGAAGAAGCCCCGGCUAACUUCGUGCCAGCAGCCGCGGUAAUACGAAGGGGGCUAGCGUUGUUCGGAAUCACUGGGCGUAAAGCGCACGUAGGCGGAUUGUUAAGUCAGGGGUGAAAGCCUGGAGCUCAACUCCAGAACUGCCCUUGAUACUGGCAAUCUCGAGUCCGGAAGAGGUAAGUGGAACUGCGAGUGUAGAGGUGAAAUUCGUAGAUAUUCGCAAGAACACCAGUGGCGAAGGCGACUUACUGGUCCGGUACUGACGCUGAGGUGCGAAAAGCGUGGGGAGCAAAACAGGAUUAGAUACCCUGGUAGUCCACGCCGUAAACGAUGGAGGCUAGCCGUUGGCGAGCAUGCUCGUCAGUGGCGCAGCUAACGCAUUAAGCCUCCCGCCUGGGGAGUACGGUCGCAAGAUU